rnacentral:rRNA from 1 species
CCUACGGGAGGCAGCAGUGAGGAAUAUUGGUCAAUGGGCGCAAGCCUGAACCAGCCAAGUCGCGUGAGGGAUGAAGGUCCUAUGGAUUGUAAACCUCUUUUGUCGGGGAGCAAGGCCCGCCACGUGUGGCGGGAAGGAGAGUACCCGAAGAAAAAGCAUCGGCUAACUCCGUGCCAGCAGCCGCGGUACUACGGAGGAUGCGAGCGUUAUCCGAAUUUAUUGGGUUUAAAGGGUGCGUAGGCGGAAGGUUAAGUCAGCGGUAAAAUGUCGGUGCUCAACACCGGCCUGCCUGUGAAACUGGUCUUCUUGAGUGAGCGAGAAGUAUGCGGAAUGCGUGGUGUAGCGGUGAAAUGCAUAGAUAUCACGAAGAACUCCGAUUGCGAAGGCAGCAUACCGGCGCUCAACUGACGCUGAGGCACGAAAGCGUGGGGAUCGAACAGGAUUAGAUACCCGAGUAGUC